ACUCUCUCCUCUGCUAUCCUCAGUACAUGGUUUUUGUCCUCAAGUUACCUCAUUCUCACUGUCCAAGAUUGCUUUUGGAGGCAGUGGGCAAGAGGAGGAAAAGGAGCUUCUCCCCAGUUGCACAGGCUUCCUGGACUGAGUGUUCCUGGAGAACCACAGAUUUUAACUUACAUCUCAUUGGUCAUAUCGCUGCUAGGGAAUCAGAGAAAUCCUUGUGGCAUUGGAACCAGCUAAAAGUUAGGAUCUUUAACUAAAGAAGAAGGAGGUUAUGUUUCGUACACAACUUUCAGUUCUAAUCCAUACAGCUUUAUUGGCUACCUAUAUUUCUGUGUACACUCUUCGGAAACAUAGAAAACACUCACUUCUCCUGCCCCAAAAGGAAAUCUGCCACAUCCAAUCCAUUAUUGCAUAUGGCUCAAAGACCAUAAUAUCCUUGUAUAGUCCCCACUAUCAGGUUAGUCUAUAGAUCUAUUGUUCUGCCCAUCUACAGGCUAAACAAGGUGUCUGCCUCAUGAGUACCAAAUGCAUAAUGGUGGGAUAGGUACAGGAUAACGGCAAUAAAAUCGAUCUUUCAAAAGAGGGGAAAAUAGCAACCCCCAAUCCAUAACACUUAAAAGGUACUGCUUGGCAAAAAUAACAAGGUGUCUCUGCUCAGUCUGUGAAUGUAUUCCUUGAUUUUUGCAUCAGGCAACCCCUGAUUCACUUUUGUGGGAGGAACUCCCUUGUCGAAUGUCCUCAGGGGCCCUUGGCGCUGCCUUCCAGGAAGUUUUUCUUGUCCAUUAAUUUUCAGGGAUACAUCUGAGUGGUCAGGGGAAAGGGUGCUGAUCUUGGGGGCUGGGCGCCACUUCCUGUUUUGCUGGGUUUAGGGGCUUGGGCAUGUUUUAAAUAGUUACAGGCUGUUGCAGGCCAGGUUUGGGGUUUGUAUUUGUUUGAUUUUGGUUUUUGGCAAAAAAAUUUCCUAGAAACUAAGUAUAUUUCUGGUCUGUCUUUCUCAAUUAUUCCAAUGAGUAACCACAAAGAUCUUGCCAAGACACAGUUUUUAAUAGCAACAUCAUCUUUUACUUGCUGGCUUUUGUGCUCUCUCUCUCCCCUUGGGUCUUAAAUGAACGGUACCCACUUGGAACCAUUGGGCUUGGAUGGGCUGGCAACAGUCUGAGUCUGAUUUCUUUCCUUAGGAUGGCUGCCAUUACUUGACAGAAAGUUCUUGAGAAAAGGUUGAGGCAGAAAAAGAAAAGGCAGAAAAAGGUUGAGGAUGCUUUCAUACCUUCCUUAGAACCCUGACUGAUAACUGUUUCACUUAUCAGUAUGGUAGUUAGCUGACUUUUCCAAUUUUUCAGGGCUCCAGAUUUGGGACUUGUCAAUUUGUUUUGUAGAGAGCUAUUCCCUCGGCAAAGCUAUAUUCCUUUCCAAAUGUCUUGUUAGCCUUAGCCUGAGUCACAUCUCUCCUGUAAGACUUUGCUGAGGGUUAGAAGCAGCCCACAUGCUAGUAUUCAGAUGUUCUACCACUACUUCCUUUUAUACCUUAACCUUAGUGGCAUUAAGGUCUCACUGCCCAAAGCCCUGCCUCUUCACCUAAGCUAACUCCAUAUUUAAGAUCCUUUUACUAGCUGUACCUUCUAGCUACCAAAUUCUGUCUAGGUCAGGAUUCCUGGUUGUAGAUAAUGCAAUCUUCUUUAGCUGUUAGACAUAAGGAGCUUGAUUAAGGGGUGCAGAGAGCUCACAGAAUCUUUGGGAAAGCGGAUGAAGCAGAACCUAGGCUGAGCUUCUCAGAACUACAUCACAAGAGUGGGCUGCCAGAGAAACUGCUGCUUCUGGAACAAUUCGAAAAGCUGCCUGCCAUCUCAAGAUGCCUCCUCUUGCUGGAUUAAGGCAGCUGAGAACAGUUGCCAGCUCCAGAACUGAAUCACUUCUGCUCAGAUUUGUGGUGGCAAAAGUGGACAGACACCUCAUGAGCUGCCUUUCUCCCCAUGUAACUUGGUUCUGAGCAAAAGUCUCAACUGUGCAGUACAACGAAGAAGAAAGUUGAAAUAGAGCCAGAGUUAGAUGAUGAGCUUCAUCGUUUUCAUGUGAGAUUUUUAUUAUCUCUUGAAGAACCUGCUGAAGAAGUCUGCUUUCACCCUUAACCACUAGUGCCUCAACUUAAUACUUCAGUUCUUUUUUUUUUUUUUUUAAUUGGGCGACUAAGGGGAAUUGAGUAAAGUGCAAAGUGUAUUUUUUUGCUCCUUGCAGGUGAAAGAAUGAAAGACUGUAAUGACAACUUGCUUACAAGAUUUGAGAGAAAUCUGGUCUUGUCUUUCCUUUUUUUUUUCCCCUCACAAUGUCAUUAUCAAGAUUCCAAUUUUUCCUUACUUGCAUUUAGUUUAUUUUUUGAAGGAGUAGUUUGCUAUGGAUUAAUACCCUUUUCUUAAACAAUCCAAGAAGUGAGUCAGAACAAGCAGCAGCAGCAAGUGGUAAAGACACCAAAUUGAAAAAUUUGAAUUUAUGGUUACUGGCUAAUAUUGCCAGCCUCCUUAUUAAGACAAAAGCGAAGCAAAACCAACAAAUCUUUUCAUUUAAUUUUAGGUAUUUAGAUUUUCCCCCAACAUUACCUAUAGAAUUAUGUAGGAAAAAAAACCCUACAUUUCAUGUUUAUAGAUGUCUACAGUUUUCCAUGCAGAACUUUUAGUUUACAUUUUAAUUGGCAUUAGUCCUAUUCUGAUGAAUGCCACAUACCAGCUUGGUUGUUAGCCAGCUCUUGACAAGUGUAUUUUUCCCUAAAAGCUUAUCCUUCUAUUUAACUUCAGAGCUGUGCAUGCCUGUAAACAAAUUUGGUUGUGUUUAUAAUUUAUUGCAAGCAAUCGAUUUGACUUUUGCUGUGUAAAUUUCCUUAUCUCUUUUUGCUUUAUUCUUAGUAAUAAGUAUAUUUUCCAAGAUUUCCGGGACUAUGAAUAUAGAUCUUGUCAUUAAAAUGUUAAAAUAUUUUAUUUUACAAUUCUUGUAUUUUGCUGCUCCAUGAAAUUUAAAAAGGGUAAUGAUUUAUAUCCACAUGAUUUUAAAGCUAUGACUUGUCUCAGUGUUUUAAAAGUGAGAGAGAAGAAAUGAGAUUCUAUCUAGUUCUUUUUGCUUUCUCCCAUGAAUCAUUGUAUUAAAAUGUUAUUUUUGUUCAAUUUUAGUCCACCUUAAAUGUAGAUUUUUAGUGAUCUGAAAAUAUGUGUCAUUUAACUAAAUCCCUACCCUCAUUUUAGGGUCCUUCUGUGUAGAGUAUGAAACCCAUGUACAGUCUGUGCCGUAUUCUGUAUUUGUCUUAUACGAUUUUAUUUUACCUAUUUUACUGUUCACUAUUACCCUUCAGUGGUUAAAGUGAUUUGAGUUUGUUUUACUUUUGAAUUUUACCCUUUCUGCUCUUGGUAUAGCAAUACUAAGAUAGACAUUUAAAGGUAAAUAUUUUCUUAUUAGUGUAGUGAUGUCUUAUAGAUAUUUUUCCUUUUCUAAAACAUUUGCCAUGCCUCUUACUGUUUAAACAUUUUUGUGGUAGUAUCGAAGGAUUUUUGUCAAACACAACAAUUUAAAACUCCUGUCAUCAUCAUCUUUUUUUUUUUUUUAAUUUUAUUUAUUUUUUUGACAGUCAGAGAAGGAACACAAGCAGGGGGAGUGGGAGAGGGAGAAGCAGGCUUCCUGUUGAGCAAGGAUCCCAGGACUUGGGUCAUGACCUGAGCCAAAGGCAGAUGCUUAAUAACUGAGCCACCCAGGAGCCCCUCAUCUUCUUCUUCUUUAGUAUUGAGCAAUGGAUGUUUGUAUCUUAAUAUUUCUUUUCUGAUUAACUCUCAGUUCUAAUCCUACAUACAUUUCUUGUUUCCUUUGGUGUAUUUUCACUCUCUUUGAUAUUUACAGCAUGUUUCAUUGAGAUUCAUGACUGAUACUGUGGAAAAGAAAAACCAUAGUUGCAGAAAGGCAGAGCUAUUUAGGCAAGCAGGCAGUCAUUUCCAGAGGGAUUUUCUAGAGCUAUUUGGACAAGCUGCUGUCAUUCCUGGAGGGGUUCCUGAGUACUGGAGAGAGUAAUUCUAACCCUAAACAAAAUUUCUAACUAAUGAGUAGAGUUCCUGACUCCUCUUCCACAGAGUGAACCAGCUAUGGAGCAGAUACAUAACAUUCAGACUCUGACGAAUGUCCCUUGUCCAAUUCUUUUGCUUUUUUGUGCCCUCCUUAGGUAAUAAUAGUUUUUUAAAGUAUUUUGUGCAUUCCAGCAGACAUUUUCUGUCUUGCAGUUGUUAAUAAAAGGGGAGAAAAGUAUUCUUUUUUUGUAAUAGAAAGACCAUGACAUGAAUUUUGCAAUCUCUGAUUAGAAGAGAAGUAGCAUAAUUUUUUGCCCAGAUGACCUGAGGAUAUUUUGUUUGUUUGUUUUUUGUUUUUAAGAUUUAUUAAUUUAUUUUAGCGGGAGGGGGCGUAGAGAGAGAAUCCCCAGGCAUUCUCCCUGCUGAGCACGGAGCUGAGGUGGCUCCAUCCUGCAGUCUUGAGACCACAACCCACUAGACCAGAUCCGGAAAGCCAGAGUUGGAGACUCAACAGACUGAGCCACCCAGCUGUCCUGAUCUGAGCUUUGAUUAAGUUCUUUUCUCUCUGUGAACGCUCCCAUUUUCUAUUCUUGGACUGACUUUCCUGCAGCUGUGUUUCUAAUCAUCUCCUGAGUCAGUGGAGAAAGCUCUGAGUGAUAUAGAAAGUUAUUAGCACCACUGCCGUCAGGUUUUGGGGUGUAUUAUCAGGCCUUUCUAAUGAAUUCUGCCCUUCCCUCACAAUCCCAAACUAUUCAACUUUUCUCCAAGGGAGUCUGUUGUAUUACCACUAAUGUAGAUGUAGAGGUAACUUUAUUGAAACAGGAUUAAUUUAUAAAAGAUUUAUGUGAUAUACAGUAGAGGCUAAGAAUUUUAUUUUAAUGGUAAUUUUCAGCCAGUUAAUGCCCAGAAUGACUGUUUCAUUCUUUUGGGAUGGCUCUCUUGACUUCCAGAUAGCUCUUUUUACACCUUUCCAUCUAGUUUCAGGGCCUGAGAAUGGAAGAGCUCUGGAGGGCCCAGUACUUUAGCAGAGGUGGAGGAAGGAGCCCCUUUUCAAUGAAGGUGUUUCUUUCUUUGAAGCUGUUAGUCCAGGAUGUGUUAGCACACAUGAAGGUUAUAAUAAGCCCUUGCAAUUUUCAAAAUGUCUGUGUACCAAUUUUUAUGCCUCUAAUUGAAAGAUCGUAUUUCAGGAGCAAUAUGUGUACAUUUAUAUGAAAGCUUAUGUCUAAAAUAGGUGUGGAAGGAACCAUUAGUUAUUCUGUCUCUUCUGAGAAAACUGUGUCCUGGAAUUAAAAAGUGAAAAGAAUUUUGCCUUUCGUUUUCAUGAAGGAAACCAGUGCUGCAAAAUCCGUAUUUUAUCAAUAUUUAUUAUGUUUUAAAAAACGUUGAAUAAUGAUGGUAUAUACAUCCUAUUUUAAAGACCAUUUAUUUUGUUAUUACUAAAUUUGGGGGAUUGUGGAAUUUUUUUUCAAUUUAAACAUUGAAUUAAAAAUGUAACCUUUUCUAAAUAUGUGGCCAAAAGUGUUCUGUUAAUUUUAAAGUUUGGACAGAAAUUUUAUUAAUCUGAAGUGUAUUUAGACUUAAUUCUUUUUGGUCUCUUCAGAAAAUUGGGUCACUAAAAAAAAAAACCUAAAUAACUGGAUUUUAAUUUGAUAAUCAGGAAGACACAGAGACUUUAUACAAGUUUGUUGUAUUUAUAUUUGUUUUUUGAUGUUACAUUGUAAAAAUUCUCCCGGUGCAAUAUUUGUCAGAAAAUAUUAUUCUUGUCCUCAUUUGUAUAGCUUUGUUUUUAAUUAUGCUAAAAGUAAAAUCAGGAAAAAAAUGUAAUAUUUUGUGUAAUUUUCUGGGGAAAAAAGACAAACUUGGCAAUGUUGAAAGAAUGGGUUGUUUGCAAAACACA